UACGUAGGGUGCAAGCGUUAAUCGGAAUUACUGGGCGUAAAGCGUGCGCAGGCGGUUGUGCAAGACAGGUGUGAAAUCCCCGGGCUUAACCUGGGAACUGCACUUGUGACUGCACGGCUGGAGUACGGUAGAGGGGGAUGGAAUUCCGCGUGUAGCAGUGAAAUGCGUAGAUAUGCGGAGGAACACCGAUGGCGAAGGCAAUCCCCUGGGCCUGCACUGACGCUCAUGCACGAAAGCGUGGGGAGCAAACAGG
rnacentral:rRNA from 1 species